GGAUGGUGGUUCAGUGGCUGAAUACUUGCCUGCCACGCGGGCGACCUGGAUUCGAUUCCUGGCCAAGGCA